ensembl:lncRNA
UGUUUGGUUGCGUAGCUUAUGCACAUGUCCCAGACAUUGAAAGAAGAAAACUGGACAAAAAGGCUGUGAAGCUUCGUUUCGUGGGAUAUGCCAACAAUGCCAAGGGCUAUCGCUUGUUUGACGAAGAAAAAAGAAGGAUUCUAAUUCGUCGGGAUGUGAUCUUCAACGAGUCAGACUUUGACUUGAAACAAGAAGUGGAUAUUUCUUGUUCGGAGAAUGAAGUUAUCAUGAAAACUGACGAGAGAACCCCAGUCGAUGCUACUGUCGAUGAAACUGCUAGAGAAGGUGGCAGAAUCAGAAAACCACCUAAGAGAUAUGGCUAUGAUGAGUUUGCCGACCUGGUGACUGUUGAUCAUUAUGCUACUGUUUGUUGUGUUGCAGAACCAAGCACACUGAAAGAGGCAAUGAUGAGUCCAAAUGCAAAGGAAUGGCAGGAGGCUGCUGACUUGGAAUAUGAAUCACUGCUGGAAAAUAAGACAUGGGAUUUAGUGAAACUACCAAAGGAUCGGAAAGCCAUAGGAUCAAGAUGGGUGUUUAAAGUCAAGCAUCAUAGUGACGGACGAGUGGAGAGAUACAAGUGCAGACUUGUGGCUAAGGGUUACUCACAGAAGUAUGGUGCUGACUACGAUGAAACUUUUUCACCCGUGGUACGUUUUAGCUCAAUACGUACGUUGCUGUCCUUUGCAAUCCAGAAUAACAUGCAUGUGCAUCAGAUGGAUGUGGUAACCGCAUUUCUAAAUGGACACCUGGAUGAGGAAAUCUAUAUGGAGCAACCAGAGGGAUACAUCAGACCAGGAGAAGAAAGUUUGGUGUGCAAGCUGAAGAAGUCAAUAUAUGGACUGAAGCAGUCCCCUCGCUGCUGGAGCAAAACUUUCACAGAGUUCAUGAAGAACAUUGGAUUCAAACAGAGUACAUCAGACCCAUGUGUGUUCGUGAGAUCUCGACAGGAGCUGGAGAUAUUAGCUGUGUAUGUUGAUGAUCUAAUUCUGAUCACAGAGUCGAUGGAAAGCAUGGAAGAGCUGAAACUUGCUCUUAAGAAGCGCUACAAGAUGAAGGACAUGAGAGAACUGUCCUACAUCUUGGGAAUCUCUGUCAUCCAAGACAAAGACAAAAACUGUGUGUUUCUUCAUCAGAAGCAUUACAUUGAAGCCGUUCUUCAGAAGUAUGGUAUGCAUGAUGCAAACCCUGUUGCAACUCCAGCUGAUGCAAAUGUAAAGCUAAAAAGGGACGAUGGUGUCAGCAAGCCUGUGAACCCAAGUACUUACCAGUCUAUGGUUGGUAGUCUACUGUAUGCUGCGAUGGCCACACGGCCGGACAUAGCACAAGCUGUGAGCGUUGUGUCAAAGUUCAAUGCAAAUCCAAAUGUUUCACAUCUGACUGCAGUGAAGAGAGUUCUACGGUACUUGAAGGGUACACUGAAUCUCGCUCUCAAGUAUGAGCGGUCAGAGUCUGGAACUUUGGUCGGUUUCUCAGAUGCUGACUGGGCAGGAGACCAGGACGAUCGUCGCUCUACAACCGGAAAUGUGUUCUUACUGGGUGGAGGAGCGGUGAGUUGGCUCAGCAAGAAACAGUCAACUGUUGCUCUUUCAACAGCGGAGGCUGAGUAUGUUGCACUUAGCCAAGCAGCUCAGGAAUGUACCUGGCUUAGACGACUACUGAGUGAUCUUGGAAUGGAUGCUACUCCUGUGGUCAUCCUGGAGGACAACCAAGGAGCCAUUGCAAUCGCAAAGAAUCCAGUUGAUCAUUCAAGAACCAAGCACAUUGACAUUCGCUACCAUUACAUUCGUGAAUGUGUGCAGAAUGGACAAAUACAACUGCAAUAUUGUCCCACAGAUGACAUGAAGGCUGACAUCUUGACCAAGCCAUUGGUGAGGCAGAAGUUUGAGUAUCUUAGGAGUGAGAUUGGACUUUGUUUCAUUUAAUUCUGUUUAGUCUGAUCUUAAAAGGGCUAGAAUGUGUUUAGUGUUAAAUAUGUUACGGUGUAAACCAGUAUA